CCAUCUGUAACAAGAUCUGAC
rnacentral:piRNA from 1 species